AGUGAACGCUGGCGGCGUAGCUUAACACAUCGCAAGUCGAACGGAGUAAGUGCUGUAGUAAUACAGAUUACUGCUAGUGGCAGACGGGUGAGUAAUACAUGGGAAUCUGCCUUAGAGCCUGGGAUAACUGUUGGAAACGACAGCUAAUACCGGAUAAUACCGAGAGGUCAAAAGAUUUAUCGCUUUGAGAUGAGCCCAUGCAAGAUUAGCUAGUUGGUAGGGUAAAGGCCUACCAAGGCGAAGAUCUUUAGCUGGUUUGAGAGGAUGAUCAGCCACACUGGAACUGAGACACGGUCCAGACUCCUACGGGAGGCAGCAGUGGGGAAUAUUGGACAAUGGGCGAAAGCCUGAUCCAGCAACGCCGCGUGAGUGAUGAAGGCCUUCGGGUUGUAAAGCUCUUUCAGUAGGGAAGAUAAUGACGGUACCUACAGAAGAAGCUCCGGCUAACUUCGUG
rnacentral:rRNA from 1 species